GAUGAACGCUAGCUACAGGCUUAACACAUGCAAGUCGAGGGGAAACGACAUCGAAAGCUUGCUUUUGAUGGGCGUCGACCGGCGCACGGGUGAGUAACGCGUAUCCAACCUGCCCACCACUUGGGGAUAACCUUGCGAAAGUAAGACUAAUACCCAAUGAUAUCCCACGAAGGCAUCGGAAUGGGAUUAAAGAUUUAUCGGUGAUGGAUGGGGAUGCGUCUGAUUAGCUUGUUGGCGGGGUAACGGCCCACCAAGGCAACGAUCAGUAGGGGUUCUGAGAGGAAGGUCCCCCACAUUGGAACUGAGACACGGUCCAAACUCCUACGGGAGGCAGCAGUGAGGAAUAUUGGUCAAUGGGCGAGAGCCUGAACCAGCCAAGUAGCGUGCAGGAUGACGGCCCUAUGGGUUGUAAACCUCUUUUGUCGGGGAGUAACGUGCGGGACGGGUCCCGUAUUGAGAGUACCCGAAGAAAAAGCAUCGGCUAACUCCGUG
rnacentral:rRNA from 1 species